CCUGGUUGAUCCUGCCAGUAGUCAUAUGCUUGUCUUAAAGAUUAAGCCAUGCAUGUCUAAGUAUAAGCUUUUAUACGGCUAAACUGCGAAUGGCUCAUUAAAACAGUUAUAGUUUAUUUGAUGGUCUUUACUACAUGGAUAACCGUGGUAAUUCUAUGGCUAAUACAUGCGCACAUGCCUCUUCCCCUGGAAGGGCAGUGUUUAUUAGAUACAGAACCAACCCACCUUCCGGUGGUCCUCAGGUGAUUCAUAGUAACCGAACGGAUCGCGUUGACUUCGGUCUGCGACGGAUCAUUCAAGUUUCUGACCUAUCAGCUUUCGACGGUACUGUAUUGGACUACCGUGGCAGUGACGGGUAACGGGGAAUUAGGGUUCGAUUCCGGAGAGGGAGCCUGAGAAACGGCUACCACAUCUAAGGAAGGCAGCAGGCGCGCAAAUUACCCAAUCCUGAUUCAGGGAGGUAGUGACAAGAAAUAACAACACUGGAAAUUUCAUUUCUAGUGAUUGGAAUGAUAGGAAUCCAAACCCCUUUCAGAGUAACAAUUGGAGGGCAAGUCUGGUGCCAGCAGCCGCGGUAAUUCCAGCUCCAAUAGCGUAUAUUAAAGUUGUUGCAGUUAAAAAGCUCGUAGUUGGAUUUCUGCUGGAAGCAGCCAGUCCGCCCUCAGGGGUGUGCACUUGGUGAAUUCUAGCAUCCUUCUGGAUUUCUCCACACUUCAUUGUGUGGAGUUUUUUCCAGGACUUUUACUUUGAGAAAAUUAGAGUGUUUCAAGCAGGCUUGUCGCCUUGAAUACUGCAGCAUGGAAUAAUAAGAUAGGAUUUCGGCCCUAUUUUGUUGGUUUCUAGGACUGAAGUAAUGAUUAAUAGGGACGGUUGGGGGCAUUCGUAUUUAACUGUCAGAGGUGAAAUUCUUAGAUUUGUUAAAGACGAACUACUGCGAAAGCAUUUGCCAAAGAUGUUUUCAUUAAUCAAGAACGAAAGUUAGGGGCUCGAAGACGAUCAGAUACCGUCGUAGUCUUAACC
rnacentral:rRNA from 1 species